ACGAGAGAUUGCUAGCUUGCUAAUAAUUCUCUAGUGGCGCACGGGUGAGUAACACGUGAGUAACCUGCCCCCGAGAGCGGGAUAGCCCUGGGAAACUGGGAUUAAUACCGCAUAGUAUCGAAAGAUUAAAGCAGCAAUGCGCUUGGGGAUGGGCUCGCGGCCUAUUAGUUAGUUGGUGAGGUAACGGCUCACCAAGGCGAUGACGGGUAGCCGGUCUGAGAGGAUGUCCGGCCACACUGGAACUGAGACACGGUCCAGACACCUACGGGUGGCAGCAGUCGAGAAUCAUUCACAAUGGGGGAAACCCUGAUGGUGCGACGCCGCGUGGGGGAAUGAAGGUCUUCGGAUUGUAAACCCCUGUCAUGUGGGAGCAAAUUAAAAAGAUAGUACCACAAGAGGAAGAGACGGCUAACUCUGUGCCAGCAGCCGCGGUAAUACAGAGGUCUCAAGCGUUGUUCGGAAUCACUGGGCGUAAAGCGUGCGUAGGCUGUUUCGUAAGUCGUGUGUGAAAGGCGCGGGCUCAACCCGCGGACGGCACAUGAUACUGCGAGACUAGAGUAAUGGAGGGGGAACCGGAAUUCUCGGUGUAGCAGUGAAAUGCGUAGAUAUCGAGAGGAACACUCGUGGCGAAGGCGGGUUCCUGGACAUUAACUGACGCUGAGGCACGAAGGCCAGGGGAGCGAAAGGGAUUAGAUACCCCUGUAGUCCUGGCAGUAAACGGUGCACGCUUGGUGUGCGGGGAAUCGACCCCCUGCGUGCC
rnacentral:rRNA from 1 species